rnacentral:lncRNA from 1 species
CCAUAUAUUGAUGAAAUAACAAGAGUCUUACAAUCGUUCAUUACAUAGUUGGCCAUGCAGGGAGGAACGCAAUUACAAAGCACACCAUCGGACCUGCUAUCAAAACUAAAUUUAGCUAUCUCAUGUGUGACCUUGUUCGCGUGCCUAUCAAUCAUAACAACCUUGAGCUCCUUAAUAAACUUGGAGGCACUCAUUGCUUCCUUUUUUAGAUCCACAUAAGGAGACUUGUCAACAGUUUCUUUCGCUAGAAAAGAUGCAGCAAAAAAGCAGUUAGUUUCCAAAAUAAUUGGUCUGUGAAGAGUAAUAUCAAUGUACAACCCGGCUAGGCACGCAGGAAGUUCCUCUUCCUCCGCUCCGAAGCACACUUG